GGAUGGCCGCCGGCCGGAGCCCUUUUGCCGUUGUGCUACUGAGCGUGAGGAGCAGUGCAAUGGUAAAAGGGCAUCGGCUGGCGGGGUCC